rnacentral:sRNA from 1 species
GCCAGGUGUGGUGGCACAUGCCUGUAAUUCCAGCAGCUUGGGAGGCUUAGGUAGGAGAAUCUCAAGUGCAAAGCCAGUCUCAGCAACUUAGUGAGAUCCUUCCUCAA